GAAAUGCGAUACGUAAUGCGAAUUGCAGAAUUUAGUGAAUCAUCAAAUCUUUGAACGCAGAUUGCGCCUGAGCGUGAGUUCAGGCAUGCCUCUUUCAGUGUCUGUUCCAUUUUACUCUUUCCUGGUGCUUUUUGAAGCAUCAAGAAGGGAGACUGGGCCUCUUGACUUACUUGGUCAAGUUGCCUCAAGUGACGCGAUGCUCAAACCGAAGUGGUUGAGAGAAGCAUUACACACGAGUUAUGGCGUUACUGCCUCUUGUUCCUGUGUUCCGCUUUUCGCUUGCAGGCCACCUCACCUUGUGACACAUCGACGAUGGACGAAAGCAUUUUUGCUGUCGUCACUUUACACAUCAUCACAAUUGACCUGAAAUGAGGUAAGAGGACCCGCUGAAUUUAA
rnacentral:misc_RNA from 1 species